GAAGUGCUGUUGUGGUGUCCCAUCACCCACGUACCUACACAGCAGAAGAUUAAGUAGCCUUGGUGGGCAGGAUGGGCGUGUCUUACUCAGGCCACUCUGCUUCCCACUUCCUCAACUAAGGAGGAACUUGAGAGUUAAAGGAAUCUACAUACCUCAGAAAAAAUAAAUCAUCGUUGCUGCUUGACAUCCGAGUCCAGCAGUGUCUCUCUGUCCCUCUCUGUCACAUCAUUUUUAUAUGCAACUUAUGGACGGGGCAAUCCCUUCUUCCCUCAGCAUUUGUCUCUGGGAGAGACAGGAAGAUGGACACCCCCUCCACCCCACCCCCCAGACAGACGUCACAAACCCUGAGGUGAAAAUGUCUCAGGAAGAAGAUACUUCACUCUCCAGGGAACUGUCAUAUGAAGAUUCAUAGCGCAAAAUUUCACUCACGUGGUCAGUUUCGCCAUUCCUGCUGGAGUUUGCAAUGGCUUUCCAUACCUAUCUUGUGACUAAUUUGGCAAUUACACAAUGUGUUCUUUGGCCAGUGUUCUUUUUGCCUUUAUGUGAAUAAAAGAAAGUUCCAAA